UACGGGGGGUGCAAGCGUUGCUCGGAAUUAUUGGGCGUAAAGCGUACGCAGGCGGCUCAGCAAGUCGAGUGUGAAAACCCGGGGCUCAACCCCGGACGUGCAUUCGAAACUGUCGAGCUUGAGUGCGGGAGAGGGAAGCGGAAUUCCUGGUGUAGAGGUGAAAUUCGUAGAUAUCAGGAGGAACACCGGUGGCGAAAGCGGCUUCCUGGCCCGAUACUGACGCUCAAGUACGAAAGCGUGGGGAGCAAACAGG
rnacentral:rRNA from 1 species